rnacentral:rRNA from 1 species
UACGAAGGGAGCUAGCGUUGUUCGGAAUUACUGGGCGUAAAGGGCGCGUAGGCGGGUUUCCAAGUCGGGGGUGAAAUUCCAGGGCUCAACCCUGGGACGGCCUUCGAUACUGGGAGCCUGGAGAUCGGGAGAGGUGAGUGGAAUUCCGAGUGUAGAGGUGAAAUUCGUAGAUAUUCGCAGGAACACAGUGGCGAAGGCGGCUUACUGGUCCAUAACUGACGCUGAGGUGCGAAAGCGUGGGGAGCA